rnacentral:rRNA from 1 species
AGUGAACGCUGGCGGUAGGCCUAACACAUGCAAGUCGAACGGCAGCACAGUAAGAGCUUGCUCUUACGGGUGGCGAGUGGCGGACGGGUGAGGAAUACAUCGGAAUCUACUUUUUCGUGGGGGAUAACGUAGGGAAACUUACGCUAAUACCGCAUACGACCUACGGGUGAAAGCAGGGGAUCUUCGGACCUUGUGCGAUUGAAUGAGCCGAUGUCGGAUUAGCUAGUUGGCGGGGUAAAGGCCCACCAAGGCGACGAUCCGUAGCUGGUCUGAGAGGAUGAUCAGCCACACGGGAACUGAGACACGGUCCAGACUCCGACGGGAGGCAGCAGUGGGGAAUAUUGGACAAUGGGCGAAAGCCUGAUCCAGCCAUACCGCGUGGGUGAAGAAGGCCUUCGGGUUGGAAAGCCCUUUUGUUGGGAAAGAAAAGCAGCAGGUUAAUACCCCGCUGUUCUGACGGUACCCAAAGAAUAAGCACCGGCUAACUUCGUG